AGUGAACGCUGGCGGUAGGCCUAACACAUGCCAGUCGAACGGCAGCACAGUAAGAGCUUGCUCUUACGGGUGGCGAGUGGCGGACGGGUGAGGAAUACAUCGGAAUCUACUUUUUCGUGGGGGAUAACGUAGGGAAACUUACGCUAAUACCGCAUACGACCUACGGGUGAAAGCAGGGGAUCUCCGGACCUUGCGCGAUUGAAUGAGCCGAUGUCGGAUUAGCUAGUUGGCGGGGUAAAGGCCCACCAAGGCGACGAUCCGUAGCUGGUCUGAGAGGAUGAUCAGCCACACUGGAACUGAGACACGGUCCAGACUCCUACGGGAGGCAGCAGUGGGGAAUAUUGGACAAUGGGCGCAAGCCUGAUCCAGCCAUACCGCGUGGGUGAGGAAGGCCUUCGGGUUGUAAAGCCCUUUUGUUGGGAAAGAAAAGCAGCAGGUUAAUACCCCGCUGUUCUGACGGUACCCAAAGAAUAAGCACCGGCUAACUUCGUG
rnacentral:rRNA from 1 species